ACCUGAGAAGAAUGUGUAUUCUGCUGGUUUUGGAUGGAAUGUUCUGUAUGUAUUUACUAAAUCCAUCUGGUCUAGUUUUUUUAAUU